rnacentral:lncRNA from 1 species
CUGCCCUACACCAAUGCUGUGAUUCAUGAAAUGCAGCGCUUUAAAUACAUCACUUUUUUGGGGUUCCCUAGGCAAUGUACAAAGGAUUUCAAGCUGCGUGGUUUUCUCAUUCCCAAGGUAUAACAGUGUGAUAUAGCUGCACUCCUGUAGCCCAAGAGCAAAGAGCAGCAGAAGGCUUCAUAUUGAGAGAUGCUGCCAGGCAUACAGGAACUUCCCGUCUAGUCAAAAAUCUGAAGGGCAAGAGCAGGAGCUCCAUCUGCAGACAUGUUUCACCAUUGGCAAGUGCCAUUCCAUGGGGCAAUUGUGGCAGGGGAGGAGCCUGAAGUAUCCAGAGGUCUCACCUGGGUUGUGAGCUUUCAUUUUAAAAGAGGUGGCAGAAAGCCCUCUUGUGUUCCUGCCUGUAUAGAAAUUUUGUUAAGGUGAAGAAUACAAAACCAACCCCCCCCCCAAAAUAAAUAAAUAAAUCACACAGGUCUCUGCAAUGAUUAGUCUUGGGAUAGUGUGGGACAAUCCAGAAAUGUGUUGAUCUGAAUGCAUUCCAAAUCACUUCUUUCAAAUCACUUGCAGGGGACUGUUAUUGUUCCUGAUCUACGCUCUUUUCUUCUUGAUCCCACAUGAUGGGAGACACCUGCAGAGUUCAACCCAAAUCAUUUCUUGGACAAGGAUGGACAAUUUGUGAACAGAGAAGUAUUUCUGCCAUUUGGUGCAGGGGCUCGCAUUUGUUUGGGAAUGCAGCUGGUAAAGAUCGAAAUCUUCAACUUCCUGACCAGCCUGCUGAGGGCAUUCAGUUUUCAGCUGCCAGAAGGAGUCAAAGAACUCAAUCAAGAGGCUAUAAUAGGGGUUACAACACAUCCCCAUCCUUAUAAACUCUGUGCAGUUCCCCGCUGCAACACAUAAGAAGAUAGGAAAAUAUUAGGGGCUGCACCCCUGCUUCCUGCACUCGGUGACCCCUUGGCCACUUCUGACACAUGAACCCCCUAGCAUUUCCCCUUCCCUUCCCAUCUCAUCCCAUGCAACUAUUGAGGUCUCUUUUCACCUUUGCAGCUCCAUUUCUGAAGCCACUUCUCUCUUAUCUUCUGCAGCUCUGCUUUGCAUCCAUUUCCCCCUUCACCCCAUCUCCUCCAUUUCUUCAGGUCCUUUCAUUCCCCUGCUUUCAUCUUCAUCCCUCUCCCAAUGCCUCCUUACUCCCUCCUUUUUGACAACUUCCUUUGCAUCCCCAUUCUUACUCUUGCUCCCUUUUCUCCUCCCCUCCCCCUUACUUUUAUCAAAUCUUCCUAACACACACAUUCCCACACCUCCUCCUCUCUCCCUCUUCUCCUGCCUCCUUACAACACCACUCCCCAUGCUGAGAAAUGUUAUUGUAUCUUUAAGAUGAGUAGACUCCUAAGAGCAAGACUGUCAGCUUCUCCAGUUGAAGAAGACUAAGUUUCUUUGAUGGAUACUGUACAUGUGUGCUUGUUAAUAAAAUAUCUCUUCUA